rnacentral:tRNA from 1 species
CAAGGGGUAGCUUACACCCCACCCCAAAGCAUCCAGCUUACAACUGGAAGAUGUAAACCUCCUACCCCCUUGA